UAUUUGGUAUCAGAGUAGGUUUAUGAUGCAUGUUUUUCGUGUUUUGGAUUUUCGAGUUAAUCUGAUACUAAUUUAUUUGGUAUCAGAGCCCGAUUUUGCGAGUCAAUUUGGGUAUUUUUGGAUUUAUACGGAUUUUCGUCGAUUUUUUUGUUUCGAAAUUUCAAGGUAUUAUUUGACCUCGUCAAGGAAAGGUCAUUUUUGGAGACUUGGCAGUGACGGAACAUCUCCAGACGACAAAUAGGAAAGUAAUGAGGCAAGGCAGAAAUUCUCGAAUGCCAAGUUAAUUUCUUCAGCACAGUUCUUUGGAGAAAACAAAACAAGUAGUGAGAAUGAGACGCACAGGACGCUGCAAAGGUUCACAGUGUCAGUAUGUGCAAUUUACAACCAUAAUUUGUGUCAAAGACUCCAAAGCCAUUUCAAAUGCCGAUCUGUUUGGUAAUGGCACAUAAGAUCCUGAUCUAGCUUUUGCUACUGCAGAUCUCAUCAACCGUCUCUUUCCAGGCGUCUGAGGAUUUAUCUUCCCUCACGAACAUUGCCGGGGAGACUGGCAAGAAAUUGACUUCCAUUGCUUCCAGCCUUAUCUACGAUCUUCAGGAUAGAAUCCUUUAGCUGAGUUAGCAUGCAUUAUCAGUGACUGGCUGCUCAACCACAAGUCCACAACGAUUGGUUCAAAACAUCACAAACGUUUUUUUUCUAGAGUUGUUACUGAAACUUGGUUAUCGUACGCAUUUUUUAAUUACAUUCGAUUUGUUAUGUAGCUAUUAUUUCAUCAAACAGAAGUUUGUGUAUCUCAUUUGAACUAUUUACUCGGAUCAAUAUUUGUUUUGUAUUUAAAAA